rnacentral:rRNA from 1 species
AACGAACGCUGGCGGCAUGCCUAACACAUGCAAGUCGAACGAGACCUUCGGGUCUAGUGGCGCACGGGUGCGUAACGCGUGGGAACCUGCCCUUAGGUUCGGAAUAACUCCCCGAAAGGGGUGCUAAUACCGGAUAAUUUCUUCGGACCAAAGAUUUAUCGCCUUUGGAUGGGCCCGCGUUGGAUUAGCUAGUUGGUAGGGUAAAAGCCUACCAAGGCGACGAUCCAUAGCUGGUCUGAGAGGAUGAUCAGCCACACUGGGACUGAGACACGGCCCAGACUCCUACGGGAGGCAGCAGUGGGGAAUAGUGGACAAUGGGCGAAAGCCUGAUCCAGCAAUGCCGCGUGAGUGAUGAAGGCCUUAGGGUUGUAAAGCUCUUUUACCCGGGAUGAUAAUGACAGUACCGGGAGAAUAAGCUCCGGCUAACUCCGUG